CGUAGGGUGCGAGCGUUAAUCGGAAUUACUGGGCGUAAAGCGUGCGCAGGCGGUUUUGUAAGACAGGCGUGAAAUCCCCGGGCUCAACCUGGGAACUGCGUUUGUGACUGCAAGGCUAGAGUAUGGCAGAGGGGGUGGAAUUCCACGUGUAGCAGUGAAAUGCGUAGAGAUGUGGAGGAACACCCGAUGGCGAAGGCAGCCCCCUGGGCCAAUACUGACGCUCAUGCACGAAAGCGUGGGUAGCAAACAGGAUUAGAUACCCUGGUAGUCCACGCCCUAAACGAUGUCAACUAGGUGUUGGGUGGGUAAAACCAUUUAGUACCGGAGCUAACGCGUGAAGUUGACCGCCUGGGGAGUACGGCCGCAAGGUUA
rnacentral:rRNA from 1 species